UACGUAGGGUGCGAGCGUUGUCCGGAAUUAUUGGGCGUAAAGAGCUCGUAGGUGGUUUGUCGCGUUGUUCGUGAAAACUCACAGCUUAACUGUGGGCGUGCGGGCGAUACGGGCAGACUGGAGUACUGCAGGGGAGACUGGAAUUCCUGGUGUAGCGGUGGAAUGCGCAGAUAUCAGGAGGAACACCGGUGGCGAAGGCGGGUCUCUGGGCCGAUACUGACACUGAGGAGCGAAAGCGUGGGGAGCGAACAGG
rnacentral:rRNA from 1 species